UUAGCUCAGUGGCAUAAGUACCUGCCUUGCAAGCAGGCGGUCAUGGGUUCGAUCCCCGGUA
rnacentral:tRNA from 1 species